GUCCAGGUUUCUCAGGUUUGGCUGUCUAGGCAGGAAAGGAGUCAAGGAAUUAAUGGGAAAAACUAUCAGAGGUUGGGGUGGGACACUUAGAUCCAGGUGUAUCCCUCCUUCCUUCCCUCUAGAACUCUCUGGACCCAAUGAGUAGCCACCACAGAGAUUCUGAAAGGAAAAUAGGAUAAUUUUAAAGGACAGCUGACAGCCACCUCUGCCUGCAUCGCCUAAUGUUGUCUACUGGAUUAGUGGCCAGUGAAGCUGCCAGACCUGGAACCUGGGCAUCCAGGUGGCAGAAGGCAGGGUUUCAGGAAGAUCCCCUCUGAGGCUAUGCUAGGGAGAGAAGGUGGUUGUCCUGCUGGUGUUUUUGCUUCUCCCUGUCUCUGUAAGUACUGAAAGAGAGAGAAAAUUCUGCUCCCACCAGGCUAUUUGAAAGCACUCUGUGUCAUUUCAGCACAAAUAUAAAAAGCACACAUACACAAGCACACACACACACACCAACACACAUGCAAGCAUACACACACACUCAAUGCUUGAGCAUCCAGAGUUCAGCACCCACUCUCUCUUAGGAUGACCUGUAGUUGCCCAGGCUGCCAGUGGGUGAUGGACUGAUGGCCUCCUGUCUCUUUACUCCUGUGAAGAUCCAAA
rnacentral:lncRNA from 1 species